CACGUGAGGGGCAAGCGUUGUCCGGAUUUAUUGGGCGUAAAGAGCUCGUGAGGCGUGUUCGGUAAGUCGGGUGUUAAACCCUCAAGGCUCAACCGUGGGGCCCCACCCGAUACUGCUGUGACUAGAGUCCGGUAGGGGACGCGUGGUAAUUUCCUGGGUGUAGGCGGUGAAAAUCGGCGCAGAUAUCAAGGAGGAACACCAGC
rnacentral:rRNA from 1 species